UUAACUCAAAUUUAUAUGCAGUUGGAACAACGCUCCUAGCGGCAAACGUUCCAACUCCAUACAAAUUUCAGUUA
rnacentral:pre_miRNA from 1 species